ensembl:lncRNA
GCCGCCUGCUGGAGAAGUUACUGGUGCUUCUCGCCUGGCGGAGCAAGCACGUUGGCUCCUAUCAGUUCCUUGAGAAGCAGUUAGCCCAGGCGACCCCCAGGGAGCGCAGUCGCAGGCCCCUGUGCUGGGGAGGAGCCUCCAGCGCUCUCACAGCAAACUUGGGGUGGUCACCGGCCGCCUCGCCUCGCUGGUGCACAAGAGGGAGCGUGAGACGAAGAAAAGAGGGUCCCAAAGAUGGCCGACUUUCAGGCUCGGUUAAACCAUACGGCCAGCCUUGUUGCCUAGGUUAUAAAGAAGCAGGCUGGACUUUGUGAGCGCCAAAGAAUUGAUGCUUUUGAACUGUGGUGUUGGAGAAGACUCUUGAGAGUCCCUUGGACUGCAAGGAGAUCCAACCAGUCCAUUCUGAAGGAGAUCAGCCCUGGGAUUUCUUUGGAAGGAAUGAUGCUAAAGCUGAAGCUCCAGUACUUUGGCCACCUCAUGUGAAGAGUUGACUCAUUGGAAAAGACUCUGAUGCUGGGAGGGAUUGGGGGCAGGAGGAGAAGGGGUCAACAGAGGCUGGAUGGCAUCACUGACUCGAUGGACGUGAGUCUGAGUGAACUAGGUCUGGCGUGCUGCGAUUCAUGGGGUCGCAAAGAGUCAGACACGACUGAGCGACUGAACUGGACUGGACUGGACUGGACUUUGUAAACCGCAAGUUGAUCAGCACUUAAAAAUCUUCCCUUGCCUUCCUAGUACCUUCCGCAUAACCCAAACCCUCCCCUAGGACAUCUGAGGCUUCAGCACUUGCUCCCAGGAGCCUCAUCUUUCCCCACCUGCUGUCUCUCACCUUCCCUUCCUGGUGUGCCGGACCCCCUGGAGCCCAGCGUUCUCUUUCACUUUACCCAUCAGCAGCGCAGACUAGACCCUUCAGCACUCAACCAGGCAACAGCUGGUCCGGAAGGCCAGCCCAAGGCAGCCAAGCAACACUGGGACCCUUACACAUCAUACAGGACUGACUUGGGUGUGCCAGCCUCCCCUGAUCAGACGUCUUGAGGGCACGGAACUGUGCUUACCCAUUUCUGAAAACCUAGUGCCCUCCAGAGUGGUGGUUGUAUCCACUAGAGAAGCUGUGAGCAAGAUGACAAUGGAGAAUUUUUGCAGUGUCUCAUGUGCCGGGCACAACAUGGAUGUUGUUGCCUGUAUUGUUAUAUUUAAUCCUAAUUUUGACCAUGUAAAGAUAUCUUCAAUACUUAUCUGACACAUGAAGAAAAUAAAGAUCAACAAAGUUCAAUGAUGGAAGGUCAUUGCGGUGGAAGCGGUAAGGUGACUUCUGAAUCCCCUCCAGCAGAGGACUGCCGGGCUCGCCUCCUCGCCGCGUUGCCUGUGGCUCUCCUCACCCCAGGACCGCGCCCUCUGGCUGGCAGCCGCACCCCGAGUGAGCACCACGGGGUCGCCCGCACUCAGGCGCCGCUUCCUGGUGCCCUCGUGGAGUCAGCAAGGCCUCCCGUGAGACCGCACUGCCUCUCAGCUCUCUGUCUAAUCCCUCCCUGGGGCACUGAUGCCAAAGCCAGCCUUAAUCAGCUUCCUGUUUUCCUUUCUGUCUCAGAGUCAGCUUCCCAGGGAGCCUCGCCAGGAGGAGUCUGGCAGCCAGUAGCUGGUGGAGCCCGGGGACCAGACGAGCGGCCCGCCUCAGCGCUCUGCUUGUGCUCCCCUGGACUGCACCCCCUCCGGUGAUGAACAGGCCUUUCUUUCCUCUGUAUCCCCGGGACUCAGCACAGGCGCUCAGCAAGUACCUGCCCGCCAUCCUUCGCUCUGUGGUCUGGCUCGGGUGCUUAGGCUCACUUGUUGACAGCUCUCGCCCCCGGAAUCCUCACAAUGAAGUCUGCUGCCUCGAGGGGCCAGGCAAACGAUCUUCUAAACUCAGGACGUCGGAUCAGGUCAGGAGUGGUCAAUUUAGUUGCUUCGAGCAAUACCCAAACCCUCUAAUGUUAGACUUUGUUUUCUUUAUCAAUGUUUUCAGAAACUCAAACAUUUCACAAUUCCAUUUCUCCUGCUUAAAUAACAAGGCUGAUCCAAGUCUUAUUGAUGGUAUUAACUAAAUAUCUUUAAAGGGUUGAGAACAGAAUGUUUUAAGAGAAGGGGAAGUCCCGAGCGCUGGCCCUGGGCCUGAGGGCGUGCGCUCACUCGCGUCCCGUUGUGCGCGUUGUAACCUGUAACCGGCGCUGGGGGACUUCAGGCGCCGCAGUCGUCAGAAGCCGCAGAGGCGGCUCCGUGCCCCAGAUCCUGCCCGCAGGCAUCUUCAGGAAAGAAGUGAGGGCGAAAGCAACUCACAUGCCUUUGAGCCUUCGUUGGAAAACCUGAUCUUGAACUUGUCGAUCUUGACCAAGAACUACAGAAGGGCUACCUUUUCCAGUAGGGACUCAGGGGAGUCAGUGUUUGAGCUAUUAUUGCCUCAGUCUUCUCAGCUAAAGUUUGCGUUCCUUCUCUGCAAAAAGCAUACAUGUUCAUUAAAAUAAAAACUGUCAGAAAAUAAUUAACAUUAGAAAUGCACCAAUCUGGCCCAGUUUCCCAGGAGCUUCUGAUAACAGUUUUAGGCUUAUGUAAUUUUGUUGUUUUGCACUGUCCGAAGUAAAAUAAUCUUGAUCUUGUUGUUCAGUUGCUAAGUCAUGUCUGACUCUCUGGGGACAAAAUAACCUUCCGGGAGAUAUGCUAGGAGGACUCCUGCACCUUUUUUCUCAGUCUGGACCUCUGCUGCCCUCUACAGCCAAGGAAAGACAGACAACGGUCUUUUCUUAGGUUCUACUUGUCUGGAACUUUUUUUUUUUUUUAAGGAUUUUAUGUCCUUGUCAUCUUGUGAGGAAGCACUUGUAUCAGCAGAAAUACAGGGAAGACGUUAAGGAUAUAGGUAUUGAACUAAGUGAAAGCGUUAGUCUGUCAGUUGUAGCCAGUCAGACACGACUGCAGCUAUACAUGUCUUAACACACGUGUAUAAUUUGUACAUGAGCAUAUAUGAUCCACUUAGACACAUUUCAGAUAUAUAAACAUAUCACAUAAAAGCAUGCCACACGCCACCCACAUGUCACCCUUUCGGUGCUUCACAGAGAAUUCUGAAUUGGAGACUUUCUGGAUGCUGAAAAGGAACAUUUAACCCUCCCGAUAGCAUAAGUAAUAGUGUAUAGACAGCCUUCAGUAGCCUGUGAAUAUCAGAACUGUUCAGGAGAAGGAUCCACAAUCAGAGGCAUUGCCUACUUGCUCAGCAUUUGAACACCUCUCUUCUGAAGAGCAGUUUUACUGUUUUGCCCUGUCUGUACUCCGUCAAUAUACACUGUCUUCUUUUUCCAGAACAAUAGCUCCAAGGUCUUGUAUAAAAUGCAAUAAAACUUCUGGCCAGCCAGGAAACAAAUGAUGUAAAGUAAAUUUGAAGUUGGAGUAUUUUAGCUAACUUAAGAAAUACUGUGGAUCACAACAAACUGGAAAAUUUUUGAAGAGAGCAGAAUACCCAACCACCUUACUUGUCUCCUGAGAAAACUAUAUGUAGAUCAAGAAGCAACAGUUAGAACCAGAAAUGGAGCAACUGACUGGUUCCAGAUUGGGGAAGGAGGAUGACAAGGCUGUACAUUGUCACCUGCUUAUUGAUUUUAUAUGCAGAGUGCUUGCUAAGCCACUCAGUUGGGUCCUACUCUUUGCAACCCCAUGGACUGUAGCCACCAG